rnacentral:rRNA from 1 species
UACGUAGGGCGCAAGCGUUAUCCGGAAUUAUUGGGCGUAAAGAGCUCGUAGGCGGUUUGUCGCGUCUGCCGUGAAAGUCCGGGCUCAACUCCGGAUCUGCGGUGGUACGGGCAGACUAGAGUGAUGUAGGGGAGACUGGAAUUCCUGGUGUAGCGGUGAAAUGCGCAGAUAUCAGGAGGAACACCGAUGGCGAAGGCAGGUCUCUGGGCAUUAACUGACGCUGAGGAGCGAAAGCAUGGGGAGCGAACAGG